rnacentral:tRNA from 1 species
UUAAAAAUAAGCUAAAUAAAAGCUUUUGGGCUCAUACCUCAAAUACAAAGGAAAUCCCUUUUUUUUAAA